GGGGAGGGGGUCUCGCGGGCCGGAGGAAAGCGAGAGGGCGCGAGCCGGCUUGGCGCGCGUGCGCGUCGCCGGGGAAAGGGGAGGGGGAAGAGCGCCCGGGCGGGAGCUCCCGAAGGGGGAGGGGGGGGAGGAGGGAGCGGCGGCGCGAGCUGUCCGCGCGCACCGGGGCGUUCAGCUCCGGGCGGGAGAGGCGAGAAUAAAAAAAGGUGAAUCUCCCGCCCCUCGCCUUUGGAGUUGGGAAAGAGCAGCGCGGGCGCUCACGCGCGCCAAGGACUUAUGGUCGCUAGAUCUCAAGCAGCCCGGAAGGCUGCCGGCCGCUGUCGCUUCACAAUGAGCGUGUGAAGCGCUGGGGGUGGAGCCGAAGAAGCAGAGAGGAAGGAAGAGCCGGCCGCCCCGCCUAGGCCGCCGGCGUAGCGUCGGGAUACCUCCGCAGUCGUGUGAGAAGUCACGACGUUUGCUCAAACUCCUGCUUAAGUCUUGAAAACUUUUGAAUCUGACUUUAUUUUCAUAAAAGACUAUUGCUUCAGCUAGAUUCGUACAACUGAGAAAUUCUGUGAACUCUUGAAAAUUUUGAGAAAAACUUGUGAAGUUGAGCUUUUCACCAAAACUGAAGGGCGUGGGACUUCUCUGGUGGUCCAGUGGUAAAGAAUCUGCCUUCCAAUGCAGGGGACGGGAGUUCAAACCCUGGUCAGGGAACUAAGAUCCCACAGGCCGUGGGGAAACUAAGUCCAUGCGCCACAACUACUGAGCUCGCACGCCUCAGCUAGAGCGCCUGCAUGCUGCAAACUACAGAGCCCACGUGCUCUGGAGCCUGCACGCCACAACUAGAGAAGAGAAAACCCACAUGCCACAACUGGAGAGAAGCCAGCAAGCCACAACAAAGAACCUGCGUGCCGCAACUAAAACCUGACACAGCCAAAAAUAAAUAAAUAAUCUUUAAAACAAAAACAAAAAC